rnacentral:lncRNA from 1 species
GGAGAAACGGCGCAGCUGGGACUCUGUGCUGUGGCAGCCUAAGCGAACCUCUUCACGGGCUAAUGACAAUUGCAGGCAUUGUUGGGCUGUGUCCUAAGGUGAAUCAACAUAAAGAAAAGCCCUGGCUGCUCGUGCACUGAUAACUUCAUCUUUUCGGACAUCUGGGAACUACCGCCACAAUGUCUGGAAAAAAAAUGACUUCAAACUAAUGCAGCAGAGGCAAACCAUGGUUUGGCCAAAAAUGGAACAGAAUUUACAAGGGAAAAGGGAAGUUCCUGGAGUAAUAUGUGUAGGUCAGAUGAGGAUGGAACUGGUGAAUGAGCAGAAGAGAAGGUUGGAAGAGUGCAGUGGUGAUGACAGCCCUCCGCUGCUCCUUCCCCAGAGGAAGGAGCUCCAAUGGAGUCUCACUCUGUCGCCUAGGCUGGAGUGCAGUGGCACAAUCUUGGCUCACUGCAACCUCCGCCUCCCAGGUUCAAGCGAUUCUCCUGCCUCAGCCUCCUGAGUAGCUGGGAUUACAGAUGCACACCACCACGCCUGGCUAAUUUUUAUACUUUUAAUAGAUACGGGGCUUCACCAUGUUGGUCAAGCUGCUCUUGAACUCCUGACCUCGUGAUCUGCCCGCCUUGGCCUCCCAAAGUGCUGGGAUUACAGGUGUGAGCCGCUGCGCCUUGCCUUUCUUAUAUAUUUCUUAUGUCUUAUAUUGCCUGAAGUUAACUGAUGGGUUAAGGGGGCAAAACGUCUCUCUCCAAGUCUUGCCUAAAUGGUGCACUGCCUGACAUCAGAAAGCAGAGAUGCUCCCAUCUAUGAUUCUCAGCUGUUGGCCUCAGCAAUUAAAUAAGAAAAGCAAGCACUCUUUACAUCCUGAGUUCCAUUAAAUAAAAACCCUCCUCCUACCAAAAGCCAAUCUUUAUUUUUUUGGUUCCACUUUGUUUUUUGUUUUUUUUUCUUUUAUUAUUAUACUUUAAGUUUUAGGGUACAUGUGCACAUUGUGCAAGUUAGUUACAUAUGUAUACAUGUGCCAUGCUGGUGCGCUGCACCCACUAACUCGUCAUCUAGCAUUAGGUAUAUCUCCCAAUGCUAUCCCUCCCCCCUCCCC